CAAAACAUGUCCUUUAGAAUUUAAUUUAAGGUCUGACCUGCCCACUGAAUUAAAUGGCCGCAGUAUUUUAACUGUGCAAAGGUAGCAUAAUCAUUAGUCUUUUAAUUGAAGGCUUGUAUGAAUGGUUGGACGAAAUAUUAACUGUUUCAUAAAAAUUUAAUUAGAAUUUUAUUUUUUAGUUAAAAAGCUAAAAUAAUUUUAAAAGACGAGAAGACCCUAUAGAUCUUUAUAUUUUGUAUAUUAUAGUUAUUUAGAUUAUUUAAAUUAUGAUUAUAUAAAGUAUUUUGUUGGGGUGACAUUAAAAUUUAAUUAACUUUUAAUUUAUUUUUACAUUGAUGUAUGAUUAAUUGAUCCAUUAUUAGUGAUUAAAAAAUUAAGUUACCUUAGGGAUAACAGCGUAAUUUUUUUGAAGAGUUCAUAUCGAUAAAAAAGAUUGCGACCUCGAUGUUGGAUUAAGAUAUAAUUUUGGGUGCAGCAAUUCAAUUAUUAAGUCUGUUCGACUUUUAAUUUCUUACAUGA
rnacentral:rRNA from 1 species